GGUUGAUCCUGCCAGUAGUCAUAUGCUUGUCUCAAAGAUUAAGCCAUGCAUGUCUAAGUAUAAGCAAUCUAUACAGUGAAACUGCGAAUGGCUCAUUAAAUCAGUUAUCGUUUAUUUGAUAGUACCUUACUACUUGGAUAACCGUGGUAAUUCUAGAGCUAAUACAUGCUAAAAAUCCCGACCUCUGGAAGGGAUGUAUUUAUUAGAUAAAAAACCAAUGUCUUCGGACUCUUGGGUGAUUCAUGAUAACUUUACGAAUCGCAUGGCCUUGCGCCGGCGAUGGUUCAUUCAAA
rnacentral:rRNA from 1 species